rnacentral:rRNA from 1 species
CCUACGGGAGGCAGCAGUAGGGAAUAUUGGACAAUGGGCGAAAGCCUGAUCCAGCAAUGCCGCGUGAGUGAUGAAGGCCUUAGGGUCGUAAAGCUCUUUUACCAGGGAUGAUAAUGACAGUACCUGGAGAAUAAGCUCCGGCUAACUCCGUGCCAGCAGCCGCGGUAAUACGGAGGGAGCUAGCGUUGUUCGGAAUUACUGGGCGUAAAGCGUACGUAGGCGGUUAUUCAAGUCAGAGGUGAAAGCCCGGGGCUCAACCCCGGAACUGCCUUUGAAACUAGGUAGCUAGAAUCUUGGAGAGGUCAGUGGAAUUCCGAGUGUAGAGGUGAAAUUCGUAGAUAUUCGGAAGAACACCAGUGGCGAAGGCGACUGACUGGACAAGUAUUGACGCUGAGGUACGAAAGCGUGGGGAGCAAACAGGAUUAGAUACCCUGGUAGUCCACGCCGUAAACGAUGAUAACUAGCUGUUCGGGCACUUGGUGCUUGAGUGGCGCAGCUAACGCAUUAAGUUAUCCGCCUGGGGAUACGGUCGCAAGNUUAAAACUUAAAGGAAUUGACGG